GACGAACGCUGGCGGCGUGCUUAACACAUGCAAGUCGAACGGAAAGGCCCUGCUUUUGUGGGGUGCUCGAGUGGCGAACGGGUGAGUAACACGUGAGUAACCUUCCCUGUACUUUGGGAUAACUUCAGGAAACUGGUGCUAAUACCUGAUAGGAGCUCCUGCUGCAUGGUGGUGGUUGGAAAGUUUCGGCGGUUGGGGAUGGACUCGCGGCUUAUCAGCUUGUUGGUGGGGUAGUGGCUUACCAAGGCUUUGACGGGUAGCCGGCCUGAGAGGGUGAACGGCCACAUUGGGACUGAGAUACGGACCAGACUCCUACGGGAGGCAGCAGUGGGGAAUAUUGCACAAUGGGCGGAAGCCUGAUGCAGCAACGCCGCGUGCGGGAUGACGGCCUUCGGGUUGUAAACCGCUUUCGCCUGUGACGAAGCGUGAGUGACGGUAAUGGGUAAAGAAGCACCGGCUAACUACGUG
rnacentral:rRNA from 1 species